AGAACGAACGCUGGCGGCAGGCUUAACACAUGCAAGUCGAACGCUCGUAGCAAUACGGGAGUGGCAGACGGGUGAGUAACGCGUGGGAACAUACCCUCCGGUUCGGAAUAGCUCAGGGAAACUUGGAUUAAUACCGGAUACGGCUGAGAGGCGAAAGAUUUAUCGCCGGAGGAUUGGCCCGCGUUCGAUUAGCUUGUUGGUGAGGUAACGGCUCACCAAGGCGAUGAUCGAUAGCUGGUCUGAGAGGAUGAUCAGCCACAUUGGGACUGAGACACGGCCCAAACUCCUACGGGAGGCAGCAGUGGGAAUAUUGGACAAUGGGCGCAAGCCUGAUCCAGCCAUGCCGCGUGAGUGAUGACGGCCUUAGGGUUGUAAAGCUCUUUCGCUCGGGACGAUAAUGACGGUACCGAGAUAAGAGCCCGGCUAACUUCGCGCCAGCAGCCGC
rnacentral:rRNA from 1 species